rnacentral:rRNA from 1 species
UACGUAGGGUGCGAGUGUUAAUCGGAAUUACUGGGCGUAAAGCGUGCGCAGGCGGUCUGUUAAGACAGAUGUGAAAUCCCCGGGCUUAACCUGGGAACUGCAUUUGUGACUGGCAGGCUAGAGUAUGGCAGAGGGGGGUAGAAUUCCACGUGUAGCAGUGAAAUGCGUAGAGAUGUGGAGGAAUACCGAUGGCGAAGGCAGCCCCCUGGGCCAAUACUGACGCUCAUGCACGAAAGCGUGGGGAGCAAACAGG